rnacentral:rRNA from 1 species
AUUGAACGCUGGCGGCAGGCCUAACACAUGCAAGUCGAGCGGAAACGAUGGUAGCUUGCUACCAGGCGUCGAGCGGCGGACGGGUGAGUAACGCGUGAGAAUCUGCCCAUUUGUGGGGGAUAACUCGGGGAAACUCGAGCUAAUACCGCAUAAUCCCUACGGGGGAAAGCAGGGGACCUUCGGGCCUUGUGCAGAUGGAUGAGCUCGCGUCGGAUUAGCUUGUUGGUGAGGUAAAGGCUCACCAAGGCGACGAUCCGUAGCUGGUCUGAGAGGAUGAUCAGCCACACCGGGACUGAGACACGGCCCGGACUCCUACGGGAGGCAGCAGUGGGGAAUCUUGGACAAUGGGGGCAACCCUGAUCCAGCCAUGCCGCGUGUGUGAAGAAGGCCUUCGGGUUGUAAAGCACUUUCAGUAGGGAGGAAGGCUUACCGCUAAUAACGGUGAGUACUUGACGUUACCUACAGAAGAAGC